GCAUCAGCUCGUAUCAAUUACAACAUCAAAAAAUUCUACAAUUGAUGCCAAUUAAUGCUCUUUAAUAUACUUAUAUCCAACAGAACUCCUAUGAGGUGACACCGAUGAGACUGGCAACACCGAUGAGGUCUCGACGACAAAAUAUUGCUCCACCAAGUAGUGCAGCGGCAUGACUAUGCAUAGCUGUGCCCUAGUAAUCGCUGGGAAAAAUCACAUUCGAAGAGUUUCAACAACGGCUUGAGUUCUCUAUUUCCAAUUACGGCCUUGACAAUAUGGCUAUGGACUCCCACAACAUCGGCUUGAGUUCUCUAUUCCCAAUUAUGGCCUUGACAAUAUGGCUAUGGACUCCCACUCCAAACUACAUAUCACAUCCGAUGGGUUUUGACAAUUGAUGUCAAAGCUGUUGAUUGCACAUGGUUCAGCCAAGAGUUCGAGGGGCUCCUCACCUUGUUCAACAACGGCAAGGAUCCCAUCCUCUGAACAGAUCAUUGCAGGUAAUAUCCGCGAGGAAGAUAUAUUACUGCUUGAAGACUUCAUGUAGCAGUCAUAAUGAACCUCCCAAACAUCACUUUCAGAUAAUGAAAGGGUCUUAGCGUCAUUUGUCCCAACCCCAGAAAGAAUAAUUGGUUCUUGUUGCCGGCGCAGAUCCCAGGCAAAUACAGUACCUGAAGAACCUCCUGCUAGACACGUGUGCUUUCUUGACGGAUGAAUAUCAAUGGAGUGUAUGAUCCCAGAAGUUGUUCCCUGAUCCCAAUUAUCCUUGAACUGAGCAACAGCAGAACCAGGCCGUCUUAGGUCCCACCAUUGAAGCCCAAAACCACACCCACCGGUCACAAACUCAGUUGGCGAAGCCCACCUCACAGCUGUAUAUGAAACCAAACCAUUCCCAUCAAAAACCCUCCUACAAUUCCCCUUUCCAUGAUAACCUUCAACACCAAUCUUAACCAAAUUCACCCUCCCAUCUUCUCCAACACUCACACAGUCACUCCCGCCCUCCAUUAAAUCCACUCCUCCAAUCGGCCCCACAUGAAAGUCCCUACCCACCACCGAGAUCUGCGGCUCCGCAACCACAGACUCAAGGCUUUUGCCGGCAGUGGAGAAGCAGUGGAGGGAGCCGGAAAAUGUGGAGGCGGCGAUAAGAGAGGGGGUGCACUUGAGGGAGGAGAUGCGGGAAGGUGGGUUCCAGGAGGAGAGUAGAGAUAGGGUUUUUGGGGAGCUUAGAGAGUGAAUUUCGAGGGAAGGAGUGCCGCUGUCGGUAUCGAAGAAAGCGACAGUGAGGUAUUUUUGAAAUGGGGAGAUAGAAGGAAGCCAGCGGAUUGAGUCUACGUAUCUGAACUGGGGCACUCUGUGGAUUUGUGGGGGUUGAGGGAGGCCCGUUAUCGCCAUUGUUAGGGUUUUUGAGGUUUUUCUGUUUCAACUUUCAAAUGAGCGAAGAACACGGAUUGAAAUGAUU
rnacentral:misc_RNA from 1 species